GGGGGUGCAGCUCAGUGAUACAGCUCUUGUCUAGCAUAUGUGAGGCCCUGGGUUCCAUCCCCAGCACCCCCC
rnacentral:tRNA from 1 species